rnacentral:rRNA from 1 species
UACAGAGACCUCAAGCGUUAUCCGGAAUCAUUGGGCGUAAAGCGUACCGAUAGGUGGUUUAUUAAGUCUUGGGUAAAAGCCGGAAGCUUAACUUCCGCGUUUGCUUAAGAUACUAAUAGACUAGAGGGGCAAAGAGGAGAUUGGAACCAACGGUGUAGUAGUGAAAUGCGUUGAUAUCGUUGGGAACACCGAAAGCGAAGGCAGAUCUCUGGGUGCCACCUGACACUGCUAGGACGAAAGCGUGGGGAGCGAAUGGG